rnacentral:lncRNA from 1 species
CUUACAUCACAGCCUUUUGCCCUUUGUCAUGAAGUUGUACAUAUAAAUGGUUCAAAAUCAGAGAAGAAGAAUGGAGACAUUAAAAGGUCUCUAGAGAAGUUCAGACUCAGCUUCUGCCUUAUGCCAACAAAAUUUGAAAAACCUAUGGAAAGAGAGAAAACAACUGGCCCAAAAUCUAAGGAUAGAAAGUAUCUCCAGGGAGAAAGGAGAUUUGCACCCAUGAUCAUCUGAAGGUAGAUACAGGUCUGAGCAGACAGACAGAAGCCAGCACAACUGCAGGAGAAAUGAAAUGAGGUUCUAAGCCACCUUACAGCUUAUAUUGGCCCCACCAGUCUUUUUGUUCAUUGGUUACGUGAGUCAAAUUUAUAUCCCUAAAUCCGGAAUAUGCUGCCUCCAGAAUCCAAAGAAGCCUGAGAAGCAUGGUGAUUCCUUCUUAGUGGUGGAAAGAAUGAGUUAUACACAAGAUGAAUGGAUUAACCACUGGAAGACCUGCACUACUACAAAUGUUAAAGAAAGUCCUUCCAAGAAAGAAAAAAGGCAACUUAAUGGAAACUUGUGUCUACCAAAUGGAAAGAAGAGCAAUGGGAAUCCUAACUACGGUACACUGAAGAACACUUUUGCAGCUGACUAACAACUCUUGAUAUUGAGAAAGUUAUCAGAAUUAUUUGCAAAUCUCCUCUCAGAUUUGCAAAGGAUGCUGGCAUUUCUCCAUGAGGCAGGAGUGUGAGAAAAAAAGUUGAAUGUGGUGAUGGGGAAAACACUGAAGUUCAAAAGAAGCGAAGACAAGAAGCUACUCAUGGCAGCAGCUUUUCCCAUAAAUCAAGAAAUGCUACAGAUUAUAAAUGAGAUGAGACUAUCAAGAAGAGACCUAAUAGGAGUGUGAAGACCAAAAAUUUAAAAGACGUGGUUAUAUACUUUGAGUAAACUCUAUAUAUAGGACAAUGUUAUUGUUUGGUUCUGUGUUCCUCACUCAAAUCUCACCUCAAAUUAUAAUCCCCAUGUGUCAAGGGCAGGACCAGGUGGAAGUAACUGGAUCAUGGGGGAAGUUUUCCUCAUGCUUUUCUCAUAGUAAGUGAGUUCUCAUAAGAUCUGAUUUUUUUAUAAGCAUAUGGCAUUUCCCCUCCUAGCAUUUUGCCUCCUGCUGCCUUGCAAAGACGGCAGUUGCUUCCCCUUUGCCUUCCGCCAUGACUGUAAGUUCCCUGAGUCCUCUCCAGCCAUGUGGAACUGUGGGUUAAUUAAAUCUCUUUCCUUAUAAAUUACCCAGUCUUGGGCAGUUCUUUAUAGCAGUGUGAAACUGGACUAAAAUAGAAAAUUGGUACCAGGAGAGUGAGGCACUGCUGUAAAGACAUCACUAUAAAGGCACCUGAAAAUGGAAGCAACUUUGGAACUAGCUAAUGGGCAGAGGUUGGAACCAUUUGCAGGGUUCAGAAGAAGACAUGAAGAUGUGGGAAAGUUUGGAAAUUCCUGGAGACUUGUUGAAUGCUUUGACGAAAAUGCUGAUACUGAUAUGGACAAUAAAUUUCAGGCUGAGAUGCUCUCAGAUACAAAUAAAGAACUUGUUGGGAACUGGAAUAAAGGUGACUAUUUGCUAUAUAUGCUUUAGCAAAGAGACUGGUGGCAUUUUGCCUCUGUCCUAGAGAUCUGUGGAGCUUUGAACAUGAGAAAGAUGAUUUAGAAUAUCUGGUGGAAGAAAUUUAUAUGCAGCAAAGUGUUCAAGAAGUGACUCGGGUGCUCUUAAAACCAUUCAGUUGUAUGCAUUCACAAAGAUAUGGUUUGGAAUUGGAACUUAUGUUUAAAAGGGAAGCAGAGAAUAAGAGUUCAGAAAAUUUGCAGCCUGAUGAUGCAAUAGAAAAGAAAAAUCUCAUUUUCUGGGGAGAAAUUCAAGCCUGCUGCAGAAAUUUGCGUAAGUAACAAGGAGACAAAUGUUAGUCACCAAGACAAUGGAGAAUAUGGCCUCAGUCAAUGUCGGAUGUCUUCACUGCAAGCCCUCCAAUCACAGGCCUGAAGGAUUGGAGAGAAAAAAUAAUUUUGUGGGCAAGGCCCAGGGACUUGCUGCUUUGUGCAGUCUCUGAACUUGGUGCCCUGCAUCCCAGCUGUGUCUAAUAGUGGCCAACAUACAGCUCAGGCCAUUGCUUUAGAGGGUGAAAGCCCCAAGCCAUGGUGUCUUACAUGUGGUUUUGGGCCUGCAGAUGCACAGAUGUCAAGAAUUGAGGUUUGAGAACCUCCACCUAGAUUUCAGAGGAUGUAUGGAAACUCUUGGAUGUCCAGGCAGAAGAGUACUACAGGGGCAGAGCUCUCCAUGGAGAACAUCUGCUAGGGCAGUGCAGAGUCCCCACUGGGGCGCUGACUAGUGGAGCUGUGAGAAGAAGGCCACCAACCUCCAGACCCCAGAAUGGUAGAUCCACCAACAUCUUGCAUCGUACACCUAGAAAAGUCACAGACGCUCAACAACACCUCAUGAAAGUAGCCAGGAGAGGCGCUGUAUCCUGCAAAGCCACAGAGGCAGAGCUGCCCAAGGCUGUGGUAUCCCACCUCCUACAUCAGUGUGAUUGGAUGUGAGACAUGUAGUCAAAUGAGGUCAUUUUGGAACUUUUAAGACUUAAUGACUGCUUUAUUGUAUUUUGGACUUGCAUGAGGCUUGUAGCCCCUUUGUUUUAGCCAGUUUAUCUCAUUUGGAAUGGGACUAUUUAUCCAAAGCCUGUACCCCAUUGUAUCUAGGAAGUAACUGACUUGCUUUGGAUUUUACAAGCUCAUAGGCAGAAGGGACUUCCCUUGUCUCAGAUGAGACUUUGGACUGUGGCCUUUUGAGUUAAUGUUAAAAUGAGUUAAGACUUUGAGGAACUGUUGGGGAGGCAUGAUUAGUUUUGAAAUGUAAAAAGACAUGAGAUUUGGGAGGGGCCAAGGACAGAAUAAUACGGUUUGGCUCUGUGUCCCCUUCCAAAUUUCACCUUUAAUUGUAAUCGCCAUAACCCCCACAUGUCAAUGGUGGAAACAGGUAGAGGUAAUUGGAUCGUGGAGGCAGUUUCUUCUAUGCUGUUAUUCAUGAUAGCGAAUGAGUUUUCAUGAGAUCUGAUGGUUUUAUAAGCAUCUGGCAUUUCUUCUGCUUGCACUUCUCAUUCCUGCCACCUUGUGAAGAAGGUGCUUUUCUUCCCAUUUGCGUUCAACCAUUAUUAUAAGUUUCCAGAGGCAAACCCAGCCACACAGAAGUGUGAGUCAAUUAAACCUCUUUUUUAAUAAAUUACCACUCUCAAACAGUUCUUUAUGGCAGUAUGAAGACAGACUAACACAGAAAGAUAUAGCUGUUUUGGAAACAUCAGAAGUACAGUUGUAGCAAUAAAUAAAAUAUGAAUAGAUUAACUUUCGUACACCUAUUUGUGUUGAAAGCACCAGGAGUCAUAGCCAACAAUCACUUUAAUAUUUCUCCAGCUAAUUCUUCUGAUUUAUUUUUAUGUUUGGUUAGCCAGUGACUUCCCCACUAGCUAAAAAAUAUUUUUAAAAGUAUGUAUGUGUUAAUAUAUCUUGACUACUUUUUAAUUUUCCAAUUAAAAAAUAAAUCACACUUUAAUCUCUGUGUCUUGAUUUUUCUCAUUUAAGAAGAGCUCAUUGACUUAGGGGCUACAUACUAUAUGACAAGUUACAUAAAUCACAAUUUUCUUAAAUAUUUCCCUAUUGAUGGUUACUCAGUUUUAUUUUUUUUAUUUUUGCCAUUAGUAACAGUGAAGAAAUUAAUGAUCUUGCAUUUAAAUUUUAAGUACAGGUGAUUGGCUUCUUUUUACAACAUUAAAGAGUUGUAAUUGACAUACAAUAAACUGUAAUUAUAUAGUAGGCAGCUUGCUAAGUAUUGACAUAUGUAUUUACACAUCAAAACAUUACCACUAUUAAGAUAGUCAAACAUCCAUUAUCUCUAAAAGUUUUCACAUGUUACUCUGUAAUUAUUCCUGUCUGACCCUCCCACUGUCCAAAGGUAAUCAAUAACCUGCUUUCUGUCCCUAAAACUCAGUUUGCUAUUUCUAGAAUUUUCUAUAACCAGGAUAAAUUUUUUAAAGAUCUUAUUUUUUUCACUCAAUAGUUAUUUUGGGUGCAUACAUAUUUUUUAGGAUAUCAAUAGUUUGUUUUUAUUGCUAAGGUAUUAUUUUAUUUAUGAAUAUCCCACAAUUUAUUUAUUUAUCCAAAUGUUGAUGGACAUUUGGUUGUUUUGAGUUUGAAACUAUUAUAAAUAAAGCUGCUAUAAUCAUUGGUUUUCUAUUCUUUGUAUAACAUAUAUUGUUGUGGUUGAGGGGUGCAGAUAUCUAGAAAUGAAAUAGCUCGAUUGAUGGUAAGUAUAUAUUUAAUAUUUUAAGGUUCUGUUAAACUGUUUUCCAAAGUAUUUGCGUUAUUUUUCAUUCCCACUAACAGUGCCUGAGGAUUCCAGUUUUUCUACGUGCUUACAAACACUCGAUGUGGUCAGUGUUUUUAAGUUUAGCCUCUCUGAUAGGAGAGUGGCUUUAAUUUGCAUUUCACUCUUAACUAUUGAUGUCAAGCAGAUUUCUGUGUGCCGAUUUGCCAUCUGUAUGUCUUUGGAGAAGUGUCUGUUAACUAUUUUACCAUUUAAUAAAAACUAUGUUGCUUUCUUAUUAC